UUUGGUGGCGAUAGCGAAGAGGUCACACCCGUUCCCAUGCCGAACACGGAAGUUAAGCUCUUCAGCGCCGAUGGUAGUCGGGGGUUUCCCCCUGUGAGAGUAGGACNUCCGGAU
rnacentral:rRNA from 1 species